UAUAGGAGAUGAGUCUUCCUUGUCUUUGCCUCCCCAGGGCUUAGCACAGCACCUAGUACUCAGAUGCUCACCUGAUGCUUAUCCCAUGAGUGGAUGGAUGGAGGGAUGAGCUACAAAAACCCAAGGGCUCAUCGAGGGCAGGGGCAGAGUGAGUAGUACCCUAAAACUCUUUCUUAAAGGCCUGAACCCUUAGGGAACUGAGCUGUGUCUAGAAGCGAGAAAAAGUGAAGAGAAGAUUCGUGCAAAUGCUCAAGGCACCUUGGCCGGAAGUAGAGGGGAGACCAGACCCCACAUUCCUCCAGAACCAGCAGGGUCUCCUGUCCCAGAAAGGAAUGACAGAUGGCAAGAGAUCUGUGGCCCUGGAGCAGUUCUCGGGGAGGUAGUGAGAUCCUCUAGGCUGACCACGUUGAAGUAACAAGAAAACAUUGGCCCUGAAGGGGCUCUGGCAGUGCAGCAAGGACAGCGUCAGAGUGAUGGACAGUUUUCUGAGGACCAAAUCCUACCACGUGAUGUUGCACAAAGACCUUGGAACUAGGACAUAAAUCCUGGAAGAAGUUACAUAUUUAGGCCAGGUGGGGUGGUAAUCCUAGCGGCAUCUGAGGCAGGUGGAUUGUUUGGGCCUAGGAGUUUGAGACCAGCCUGAGCAAGAUGGUGAAACCCCAUCUCUACUAAAAAUACAAAAAUUAGCUGGGUACAGUGGCAUGAACCUGUCGUCCCAGCUACUCGGGAGGCUGCGGCCGGAGAAAUGCUUGAACCCUGCAGGUGGAGGUUGCAGUGAGCCGAGAUGGAACCACUGCACUCCAGCCUGGGCGACAGAGUGAAAUUCUGUCUCCAAAAAAUAAAGAAAGAAAGAAGUUACAUAUUUUUCCCCACCAGCCUAAUGGCAAAGGAACUCCGAAUCAGAAAUGGGGCACAGGUACAGAAAAACAAGAAAGUUGUUCUGCUUGCCCACUGGAGCUGUCCCGGCACUAAGUGAAGGCCUGCCAUGUGUGUCUAAGGCCUGGAGCCAGCCCGGAGGCUGCACCUGCAUCACUCAGCCCUCUCCCUGCUCGUCUCUGUGCCUCUUCAGUCCAAUGCUUCCUCCUUCCCAGGCCCCAUCUGUUCUGUAGUUUUCUCUUAACCUGGCUUCCUGGGAAGGGCUGCAGCCAUGUUUGAGGAGCCCAGUAAAACACCCCCAAGGGCUGUUGCCUUCUUCCUCCGGGCUAACUGAAUUCUUGCAGGGGCUGGGAAGAGGUGGGUGGGAGGACAGGGCAGGCUGAUCUGGAGAGUCUGGCUUCCUGGGCCCCAGCCCAGCCCUCGGCAGAGCAAUGUGACCUGAUCCCACACUUGGCCAAGGCAGCUGCAGACAUUUGCAAAGUGACAAAAGGAGAAGAGGGACCUAAGAAGAAAACAGCAUUUGCACAGCACAUGGAAGUGCCUGGAAAUGUUUUCUGGACACAUUAUUCUUCUCUAGGGUGAUUUUCAAGGCCAACCAAGCCUGGAGACUAAAGCUUCCAGAGAUAUUUUUGCGUGUCUGACACCCAUGGCUCCACCUGGACCUGAAGGCUCCUGUGACCCCACCCAGGAGUGACUCAGUUCAAGACAACAGCUUUGACCCCCUCUGAUUUCAUCUCCACUCCAACCAAUCAGCAGCAAGCACCCAUUGCCUGGCCACCCCCACCCUUUACCCAAACUGCCUUUGAGCCUUGGAGGAGAUUGGUUUGAGUGUGGCGUGGCUGGCUACAAGUCAAUUAAAUUCUUUCCUUACUGC
rnacentral:lncRNA from 1 species